UGUCCACCAAAUCCUAUCCCUACCUCCACGUGGCAUCGAUUGGACUGCGAGGAACCUUAGGGAAGAUUAGAUAACCAACCCCGGUGGGAACUUUGGUCGUAGGCUGACAGGGAAGG
rnacentral:ribozyme from 1 species